rnacentral:lncRNA from 1 species
CUCUUGACCCCGGUACCCAUAAUGUGUGGAACUCAUGAUCAGAGAAUCCUGAUUCUCGAUCACUGAGUCUCAAAUAUGUAGGAUUCUACACCAGCCAUCAGAUCAGAUAGGAACCUCUAAUGUGUGUGACCCCGCAGGUUCGAACCUAAGCCGGUAGCACAGGAACCAAUUCCUGUACUAAUCGAAGUGACCAUCUAGCAAUGGUACCCGAUAUUUGGAUAGGUUGAAGAGUCACAAUCACAAUACUC